GGGGACAGAGGAUGGGGGCGGUGGACAGAUGAUUGACAGGGGGGGACAGAAGAUGGACGGGGGGACAGAAGAUGGACGGGGGACAGAGGAGAAUGGGGGCAGCGGAGACAGAAGAUGGACAGGGGACAGAGGAGAAUGGGGGCAGCGGAGACAGAAGAUGGACGGGGGGACAGAGGAGAAUGGGGGCAGCGGAGACAGAAGAUGGACGGGGGGACAGAAGAUGGACGGGGGGACAGAGGAUGGGGGUGGUGGACAGAAGAUGGACGGGGGGACAGGAAGAUGGACGGGGGGGGACAGAGGAGAAUGGGGGCAGCGGAGACAGAAGACGGAUGAAGGACACGGGGGGGGGUGUGGUGGACAGAAGAUUGACGAGGGGGGACAGAAGAUGGAUGGGGGACAGAAGAUGGACGGGGGGCAGGAGAAUGGGGGCAGCGGGGACAGAAGCUGGACGGGGGACAGAAGAUGGACGGGGGACAGAGGAUGGGGGGUGGUGGACAGAUGAUUGACGGGGGGGACAGAAGAUGGGUGGCGGUGGACAGAUGAUUGACGGGGGGGACAGAGGAUGGGGGCGGUGGACAGAAGAUGGACGGGGGGACAGAGGAUGGGGGCGGUGGACAGAUGAUUGACGGGGGGGACAGAAGCUGGACGGGGGACAGGAGAAUGGGGGCAGCGGAGACAAGAUGGACGGGGGACAGAGGAGAAUGGGGGCAGCGGGGACAGAAGAUGGACGGGGGACAGAGGAUGGGGGCGGUGGACAGAUGAUUGACGGGGGGGACAGAAGAUGGACGGGGGACAGAAGAUGGACGGGGGACAGGAGAAUGGGGGCAGCGGAGACAGAAGAUGGACGGGGGGCAGGAGAAUGGGGGCAGCAGGGACAGAAGAUGGACGGGGGGACAGAAGAUGGACGGGGGGACAGAAGAUGGAUGGGGGACAGAAGAUGGGGGGGCGGUGGACAGAAGAUUGACCGGGGGGACAGAAGAUGGGUGGCGGUGGACAGAAGAUUGAUGGGGGGACAGGAAAUGGACAGAGAAUGGGGGGCGGUGGACAGAAGACUGACGGGGCGGGACAGAAGAUGGACAGGGGACAGCGGAGGACGAAGGUCGGGGGACAGAGAAGGGUCAGAGGAGAUGGAGGCGGUCGGGGGGAACAGAGGGUCCUGAGGGGACAGGGCGCCCAGAGGUCGGAGGGAAGGGAGCGACGGGAGGGACGGGAGGGACGGGAGGGACGGAGCUGAGGACGAAGGAGGGGAGCAGCGCGGUCCCGAGGUCGGAAGAGGGUGCACAGAGGGGACAGGGGGCCCGCCUGGCUGCGCUCGGCCCCGCCGCGGCGCCGGAGCCGCUUGGCCGGGGAGCAGGGGACGGGGACCCGGUGACGGGGCCCAGGUGACCGGCCCGGGAGGCGGGACGGGAACGAGCACGCCGGUCUGGUGACCGGGACGGGGCCUGAGUGACGACUGACGAGGACCGGGGGCCGGGGGGCACGGCGAUGGGACUGCCGGCCCGAGCGCCGGGACCGGGCGACCCGGACGGGGACCGACCCGGGCACCGGGGCGCGGGGACCGGGGGAUGGGACGCGGGCCGGGGACAGGAGGAGCGGCUCCCUCGGCCGGCCGCGGGCGCACUGAGCCGCUCGGCCCGCACCUCCCAG
rnacentral:lncRNA from 1 species